rfam:Pteropus alecto contig48431, whole genome shotgun sequence.
GGUUCCAUAGUGUAGCGGUUAGCAUGUCUGCUUUACACGCAGAAAGUCCUAGAAUCAUGCCUCAGUGGAGCCA